rnacentral:tRNA from 2 species
GGAGAGGUGACCGAGUGGUUUAAGGAGCGCGCCUGGAAAGUGCGUACACCUCAAAAGGGUGUCGAGGGUUCGAAUCCCUCUCUCUCCG